rnacentral:other from 1 species
GGUUCCCUGUCGUGCUCGUGAUGGCAUUUAAAUCCUGAGCUAACACCAAAACAUCGGGGGUCCUUAUUUCUCUCACCAAGGUGAGGGGAAGGGAUACCCACCUGAGUUUAGAGUUCAUAGGAUGAAGUGUCACACGGCAACCGGCGGAGAACCC